GGAUGAGGGCUUUUCUCAGUAUAAUUUUAGUGUUUCGUUCUAUUUUAUUGGAAAAUAACUCUUGAGAUGACUCUGAGACUUGCACUUUUUUCCCAAUUUGUUUAACUGGAUAUCAUCUUUUUAUUUAAAAAUUGUAUUUUCUAUGGCUUGCACUCAUUAUGUUUUCCGCAAUAUGAAUGAGUGAUUGUCUCAUCAAAUCUUUUCAUGUAGAAGCCCCCAAAAUGGUAGAAUUUGUGUCUAACAAAAAGUUGUAUUUUAAUCCUUCUAUCUUGCUAAAUUCUGUUUAAAAUCUACAUUCUCUUCCAGGGACCUACAUCAAGUUCUGAAUCAAACUGUAGUUACUUCAAGUGGGCUACUGCUUCAACAUUUAAGGAAAAAGGAAAGUGAAGUCAAGAGCUCAGGCAUCUUUUUACUUGAUAAAUUGCAGAAUCAGACCCCAAGGAACUUCAGAUUGAGGUGUAGUUGCUGUUAAACUGCAUAUCAACAUAUUCAACAUUUGGUGUCAUAAUUAGCUGAAAUUAUGUAACAACUGCAUAAUUUUUGAUGUUUACCUGGAGGAGACCUUUGGUAUGAGGUGUGUGUUUCCAUUCUUUUUGCCAUUAUGUUCUUUGACACAAUUACUUGGCUGUUAAUCUUCCUUCACACCGUUACAUCCUCCCAUGUGCUUAUGUGAAUUUCACAUAUGAAGUUUGGGCAUUGGGGUGGGGUUAGGGGCUAUUGGUGUCCAUACAUAUUAUUAGGUCCACAUUGUAGAAUAAAAUAAUUCGUGAUCUUCUCAAAAAAUAUCAUUUAUUUUACUAAAAUUACCCAUUCGGUUGGCAAAAUCAUUGUGGCACUAAUUUUAUCUUUUCAGAAAGAUGUUGAAUUAGUUUUGGAAGUAAGCAUAUAACUAAUUUUCCAGGUGAAUUUAAAAUCUGGUUUCUAGCUAAAAGGAUGUUGAUUAGUUAUACGAAGAUGAUCAAUUUUCUGAUUUAUAUGCUUUCGUUGAGACAUGAAGCUUUUAAACAAAUUUUUGUCAUAAUUUUCUGUGAAGCAACUUUAUCAGAAAAAGUAAAUUUUAUUGAAGGGUUUGAAGUAACCAUGUUUUUUGUGUUUUAUUUUUCUUGCAAAACAACGGUCAGGACUGACAUGCUGAGAAUAAUUGACUCGAGAAAAUUAAUAGUUGAAAUUUGGAAUCGACUAAUAGUUUCAAUUUUUAAUUUAUUGGAUCUUCACUACGUCUAAUAGAAUGGAAAUAUGUCACCCUUUCAUGUCUUUUUAAUGAUUAAAAUUCAUUGUUUUUCUAGAAAACUGGAGAAUAUUUAUUUAGAAAUUAAAAUAAAAAUAUUUUGUAGUAUUUGUUUUUAUAAUAGCCUUUGUGAUCAAAGUACGUGAGAUCGUAUGUGGUGGGAGGUAGAGAAAAGUGUUGAUGGUGAUAGUGAUGAAUAGGUGGUGCCGAAAGCAAAGCUUUUUCUUAUUGCCCGAAAGAGUUCUCAAAGCUCAGUAGGGAGGAAGGACGAGGAGAGUGUGAGACAAUUAGGUGUUUUCUACUACUACUUAUUUUUUAUGGUGAGUAGAGAAUAUUCUUGAGAUCUGAAAAUUGGUAUAGUACUGCCAUCAUGGGUACUGCAAUUCUUUCUUGUUCUACUGAUUUAUUGCUCAAUUUGGUUGUUCAUGGAGUUAGUAUAUCUGGCGUGAACCUUUGGAUAGACUAUGCAAGAUCAAUAAUUAUAGUUGCACGGAGUACAGUAGAAUUCCUCGGUACGGUCAUUCGGAAAUCCCAGAUGCUCUAGCUAGGGCUGUUAGAGGCAACUCUGAUUUUGAUAAGUUACAUGUUGAGAUGACCAAGAAGGUAAGUCUGACAUCCAUUUGAAGUAAUUUUCUUGCCUACUGGGCUUCUGCAGUCUUAGGUAAUUGCAAUUGAUGUGCUGGAUAAGGUUAAUGACCGUGACACAGAGAUCAUGACUCUUUAUAAUAAAUGGAUAACUGCCAAUAGAGCUAUUUUGGCGAUUAUUUUACACCCUCUUUGUCUCCAUUCCUUACAGUCUUCCAUCAAGUACCCAAUAGGUGUAUCAUAUGUGAGAGUUUAAACACUUCUUGUUUAUGCAUGGAUUGGUCAGAUUAACUUUGGCUGCCAUUUCAAUUGUUCUUGCUGAAUUUCAUCUCUAUCACUCGAUCUCCAAUGCUUCAAAUUCGAAUACUAACCAAUGUAAAGAGUACAAUAUGUGCUUCGGUAGUGUAUCACUAAAGGUGCUGCUGAUCUUAUUGUCUUUUUUUUUUGAACAGUAGGAAAUAUAUUAAUAAUAACUAAGUGUCAAGUUUUGACAUACUACAACCCAUACUGCCGCAAUUGUCAUGAUUGACAGUUUUAGACUAAAGUUUACACUCACCAAAGAUGUUAGUUGGUCAUUCCAAUUAAGAACAAGAAAAGGCAGCGAUACAUUGGUAUGGUGACUGCUUGAUAGCACAACAUCCGUCUUAAGGGUAAAAUAGAUAGACAUUUUACUUAAUAUAUAGAAGAGCAAGAGAAGCAGGUCGAGGUCGUCAUGUGUGCUUGCCUACAAAAGGGUAUUCUGGUCAUUUCAACUUUAGUCUUUAAUUUCCCUUAAAACACCUGUAGGCGCUCUAACAGUGACAGCAACAAAGUAGUCGCCUAGAUUAUGAUGGGCGCUUGGGUUUCUAUGUUGCUGGCUCAACGCGUGGACUUCCAUGUAACAUCUGACCAUUUGAUAUUAUCAGUCAUAACACUAUCUCAAAGUUCCCAUCUCUCUCAACACCUCCAUGAAAUCUCUGCUUCCUCUCGCUGCUACUGUUUGUCUACGCUGGUCCUCAUCCUGUGCUUAGAGGUCUACGGUAUUUCAGUAUGACAGAUAGGUCACUUUCUAUCUCUGUCUGUUCAUCUUCUUUGUCUUUGUCUGCCUUCUGAUUUGUAUCUUUCAGAGAAAAAUUAAAUAGGUAAUUUCAAAGGCCAGAAUUGAAUUUGCUCUGCUUUUGUCUCUCUUAGCUCAGAAUUCCAUAACCUUCUUCUUCGCUGUAAGAAAGAAUUGGAGUUUGACUUGGAUUUUUGUACUUCGUUAGUUGCUAAAUUGAUAUAAUCACAUGGUUCACGGUCACCGCUGAUCUUCGCUCAGAAUUCCUUUGGCUUCUGCUUCUUCGUUGUAACAGAAAAUUGGGGUUUCGCUUGGGUUUUGCAGUUCAGUGGUUGCUCAAUUGACAUACUUUUUUCAUUAUAUGUUACUGUGAUUGUUUUAUUUUUGGGUUCUUGCUGAUUUAUUGCUCGAAAUUAAAUUGUAAUUUUAUGUUAAUUUUGUGAAAUUCAAAAAUACCUUGAAAGAAAUUGGGAUUUCCGUCUACUAUCUAACUAUUCUCCAUGUUUGUUUAUGUUUGAAGGUUUUUUGUAUUUUGACCAAGAGUUAUAAAUUGGGGAUUUAGAAUGGAUGAAGGUUACUUUGUUGGAUUUAAGCUACAAUUUUAGUCUACUACUGAUAUAUUUUAUUUUGUUGAUUUAUUUCAUUUUGUUAUUCUGAGUUUACAUGAAAAAAGUGAGCUGGUUCUUUAUUGUUUCAAAGAUUUGUACAUGGCUUCUUACUUUCGAGCUCAGUGAUUAGUAGCUUAUAUAUACAAAUUCAAUAGAACUUGUUUGGUGUUUUUGGAUUUGUAUGGUGCGGUAAGUGCAUACUUGUAGCUUUUAAUAUUCUUUCCUAACAAAUCAAUGUUCUCUCCCCUACCCACUAUUUUUCUGCAAAGGUCAGCCUUAUAUUUUGCCUUGCAGCUACAACAGCAAAGUUAGCAGCGACAUUAUUUAUGAUUUCAUGAUUAUUGUGUAUAUUACUUUCUUUUACCUAUUAUCUGGUUCCUACACUAAUACAAUACUUAACAUAUACUUCAUAGGCCUUUUUUACGCACUACCAGAUAUAGGAACUAGGUAUAUCUGUGCAAGCCUUUGUAUUGCAAUGUUAAUUCAACUUCUCAACUACCCUACUUUGCAAGUAUUUUUCCUUGUAAAUAUUGUACUCUUUACACUGACAAACUGUAUUUAUCGAAAUGAAACAUGCUCUAAUACAAAGUGUUGGAUUCUUUGUUUGUUUGAUUUUGUUUCCCGUACUAACUAUGUUAACAGUGAGAUUCCCUACAAUGUCAAUGAAGGAAUCCCUGAGAAGGGGCUUCCGAAGAUGGGGCAGAACAAGCUGCUUUUUUGUGCUUCCAUAUCUUUCUCUGCUGAAGAAUUGCGGCGUCUCACUAUGGCAGAAGGAAAAGUAGACAAAGAUUCAACUGGAGAAGUUUUGGACAAGGUUCAAUUUCGAGAUAAUUUAAUUGGAAAAGUUAUCAAAGAUAAUGAGCAUGACCGAACUGCUGCAAUUAAGUUACUUUUAGUAGGGUGGUUUUCCUGAUUUAAUAGGGGUUCCUUUAUUUGGAUUCUGUCACUUGUAUUUCUCUAAGUUCUUUGUGGCAUGACCAAGAGGUACUAUUUCUUCAUAUGAGUUAUGAAGUUACUUCUUGUAUAUUUUGUUUGUGGUUGUUUUUAUGCAGUAUUUUGAUUUUCAAUGAUAAAAGGUCUGUGCUGCUUAUGCUGUUUUCAAAGUGUAGUCUACACCUGAUGUUAAGAUUACAAGAGUUGCCGGAUUAAUUGAGGCUAGAACUGUACCUUGCUCAGCUGCGAGUAGAUGGAACACUAUUCCGUUGGCAUUAGAACACUUGAAAAAAAACAGGCAGAAUGCUUAAUAUGUUGGGCCCGUGCGAUAGCACGGGCAAUCUUCAUCUAGUCUACUAUAUAGAAGAGCCCUAAAGCAAGCAGGAGGCCGUCGACAUCCCUGCUUGGCGGGGUAACUUGGUCUUUUCUCAGUUUUAUGCUGGGUAGAAUUUCUGUUGUGCCCCCGCGUUUGCUGAUUUAUAUGUUUAGAGAAAGACUAAAUAGGUAAUUUCGGCUUCACCUUUGAUGGGAAUGACGGCCACCGCUUGGCUUUAGGAAAACUUUGCGCUGCUUCUCUGCCUUUCCUUUGUUUAGAAUUGCCAUCGCUUCUCCUUCUUCAUCGUUUGAUCCGCCAUCCUUAUGACUUUAAAGUCUUUGUGUUCAUUAACGGAAGAUCGAUUUUCUGAAAUAAAAAAUGAUACUGUAAUAGAAAAUUGGGGUUUUGCUGAGUUUCUUCACACUUCCAUAAUUGCUCCAUGAAGAUCAUAGUCAAAAGGUUAGUUUUACUGCUCUAUUUUAUUCCCUUUCUAUGUGUUUUGUGAUUGUUUUGUUUCAGGGGUCUUGUUAGUUGUUGCUUUGUGGUUCCAAAUGUCGUCAUAAUUUUCUCUUGAUUUUUUGAAAUUUAAAAAACAGCUUGAAAAGAAACUGGGCUUUCCGCUGAUUAUUUGAUGAUUCUCCAUCUUUAUUCUAUUUAAAGAUUUUGUCAUUUUGGCCAAGAGUAAUAAAUUGAGGAUUUUAGAAUGGAUGAGCCUGUGACUGACUUGGAUUUCAACUACUGUUUGAUCUGUUUCCUACUUAUUUCAUUUUUCCCCAAAUUUACAUGAAAAGGAUGAGUUAGGUUUUCAUUAUUUGGAACUUUUUGUGUUAUCGCUUCAUAUCUUUUAGCUGCCGUAAUUUUAGCUUCAUAAAAUUUGGUUACUAAUCUGACAGUGAUGUUUGGAAAAAGAGCUAAUAAUGAUCUAACUAGAGAAAGUAUAACAUAGAUGUGAUGUUCUAUAAUUAAAAUUCAACAAACACGUUUUGUAGAGAAAAAGUUAUCACAAACCUGCCCAGAAACACUGAUUUUCUUGUCCAAAUGUUUUUGGAGCUUCCAUACAUCGAAGUCGAAUUUAAUUUACAAAGAUGUAGCAGUUAAAUCAGUUGUUGUAAGAUUGGGGUCCCCAAAAAUGUAAGAUUGGGGUCCACAAAUUUGCGAGACAAAAAGGAGCCUCAUACAACUAGUGUAAGUUGUAUGAGACACAAAAUAAAACUUCUCGUGAGAUUGUAAGUUGCAUCAUACAAUAUGUAUGAUGACCACACUGAACAAUGGUUGCACAACUAUUAUACAUAAUUGAUUAGAUAAAAAAUAUAUCGUUGAUAGCCAGAUUGUUGUAUUUGCUCCAAAUAGCUACAAAAUUUUAAAGAAGAAUAUUUUUUACCCUGUUUGUGUAAUUGCAAAGUACACAAAUACUUCUGAUGACUUUAUUGGACAAGGAUUCAGCCUGCUGUUAGGUGUAAUAAUAAGAUAAAGAAGAUGCUGAAAUGAACAGUAUGCUUUGCUGGAUUUACUGGGAUGAUUUUUCAAAUUCUCAUAACUCAUGUUGGAUCUCGAGUUUUCAUUUUAGUGCGUGACAGAAAUAGAUUCACCAGCUGUCAUGGAGUCUCUAUCUUCUACUUUCGACUUCUUCUAUCAAAUUUUAAACUUUAAUAGGAUUAGAAAAAAACUACUGAAUGUAGUAAAUUGAAAAGGUUUAACUGAUAUUAAAGAAGAUUGGUUGCAGUAAAAUAUAGUAUAUGAAGGCUUAAGCUAUUUGGAAAGGAAGUUGCUUCUAAAAGAACAUCAUUUAAUUGAACUUAGGUCGGGGAUCUAUUGGAAUUAACAAGCUGAAAAAGAUUUAGUGCACUACCUGCCUAGGUAUUCUCAAGAUGAGUCAUAACAUGUCCAGUUGUGCACAUAGGAAGGCAUGAUGUGCUCUUACGAUAAUAGCAAAGUGGCUGCUUGAUUUGUAUCUAAUCAUCUGCUUUUCCCUCUCUGUUCCAGAGCUCCUUUUAACCUGUCACAUGCUUGACCAUGUGGUUGUUUGUUUAUUUGCUUCUUAUUUAAGUGAGCACCUAAUAAAGUUAUCUCAAUUUGUUUUGCAAUAUGUUCAAAUGCUACAUAACCUAUUCCAUGGUAAACUUACAGCAGGUAAGGCUAAAAUUGUGCCAUAUUUCUACUUUAAAGAUUCUCUAUAGUAGUUUGCUUAUCUUUCUUGGAAGUAACAACCCAUUAUCAUUUGUGUGUCCAUUUAGCACUUUUAUAUUUAUCUCCACUCGCUUAGUGCAUGCAUUUUUUAAAUACCCUAAUAAUAUAACCAAUCAGUUCUAAAGAUUCUUUUGAGUCAGAUGUCCAUAGUCACUCUUAAUUAUCUUAAAGAAAUUAGUUUUGUCAUGAUAGUUCAUUAGGACUAUCACCAAAUUUGGUGAGUACAGUUGGUUGAAUGCAUGACCUUAUAAUAGUAGAUCUAUAACGUAAGUGAAAUUAUUAUAUACUUUUCUUGCAAGCAGAGACUGAAGAACCAAGGUUGUAGAGAAUGGAAUCAAUAGAAAUGAAAGAAGCUCUUUUGAGAAAGAGGCUGAAUGUGGAGGAAAACUGUAGGAAAGCAUAUUUUCUUACUGAGAUUUGAGACACAAAAUUCAAUCAGUUUUCCCGUGAAAAUCAUAGAAACUGGUACUAUAAAACCUCUCUUAUGUUGUCUGUUGCUUGCUUAUGCUUCUGGUAUAAUAAGAGCGACUAUUGAGCUGGGCACUGUAGGUGAUACUCAAAAGGGAAACACAGGUUGCUUUACUUGAAGAUGCACAUUUUCUAUAUUUUAUGGGUAUUGCAUCAAAAAUACCUGGUUGUAGCUACCGAUGGUUGACUAGAUAGCAGUGGCGUUGUAGAUUCUUUUUAUAUCCUCUUUUGCAUUUGGUAUGAUAUAUCGAAAAGCCUAUUGGUUAUGAUAGUCCAGUUUCUUAUU